UGCAUGAUCAACACGUUCCCAAUCUAUCUUUAAUUGUUGUUGUCGUCUUCAUCUAAAGUACUAAGGGAAUGCUGUUCCUAUUUACGCAGUUUCCAUAAAACACGUCUCUAAGAGGCGGGACAAAAGCAAGAAAAUCAAAAUUAAAAGGAAUGCAUGCAAUGUUGAUUGUCCGUUAUAGAUUCCUUGUCGUAAUUAUCCCUCAUUCCUUUUCAGACUCACAGACAUAAUGAUGAUAAUGAUGAUGGUAAUGAUCAUUUACAUUUAGUUUGUGAAUGACAGAUUGCAAUAUACAAACACGAGAGAUGGUUAGUAUGAAGUGGAGGCCGGGUGGUCACUGCCAGAGUUUCUUUACGUCCUCAGUGGUUCUUUUACGUCCCUCCGAUGUUGGUUAGUAAUGAUGACUGAGUGUGGAGAGAUGUGACGUGACCGCCAUUUGAAGUGGUCAUCCGAGCCACUUGAAAGUCUAACCAUUUGCAGAUGUAAUUACAAAGGCAGCUCUUUCUCCUCAGUUAUUAUAAGACCCUGAGUGUUGGUCCGGCCGGGACCAACGAGGGAGUCUUUCUUCUUUAAUCCGAGUAAGAAAUCCGUGUCAAAUGAGUGUGGAAGGGGGGACCUACGUAUAAUAAAUGUAAAAGUCUGGACUUCAACUGGAACCCUACGAGGCAGGCAUAUUGGCACAUGCAUGGAUAUUAAGUUACCAGCUAUAAAUGAUCUCUAUAUCGUGGAGGCCAGUGAAGGUCAAUCGCAUGCAGAGAGAAAGAGAGAAAAGGAAAGUAAACACAUCGAGUUCCUGGAAGUCGCGGAAGUACGAGUCUUGAAGAAAUCGUUUACGCGAGUCCUAAACAAUAAUAAGAAAGCUGAAACUACUUUCAAUAAGUAAGGGUUUUUAGGCAAUGAAAAGCAUCAAUUCUUUAUUGAAAGAUUUGUGGUAAUUGCUAGCUGCCAACAACAUGAUCUUGGCCAUAAAUAGAAACAAUAGAUCUUACCCCAACCUGUUAAACAGGCCCAUACAGAUGUUUAGUACCCGGCUAUUUUGAUCACGAAUAAAUAAAAGAUCGUAAAAAAUGAAAACCUUUUUAUAAACUACGCAUUAUCAGGUUCCUGCUAGCGUGAAUGUGGAUCUCGUGCAAACACCGGAACAAUCGACUAAAGAACCGGAAUCGUAUCUUGUUAUAGAUUCUUGUUAUAGAUUCUUGUUAUUCGAUAGUCAAGUUAUGACUGCACAAGUAUUUCAAUAGUUUCGGAAUUCUGCUUUCACAUAUGCGCAUUUGAUGAAUCUUUUUGCUUAAUUGGCAUGUUCUAUAAACAGCAACGUGACUUCCUUCUGACUUUACUAUACAAUGAUUAAUCAGUAUUGUUAUUUUUACAGUCGGGGGGUAAAAUUAGGGCUCACGUAGACUGACACUGAUAAGGUUCACGAGACUACAAUCACAGCACAAUCAAGAGCCGGUUUACAUUUAUACCUUUGUUAUGAUUUGAUGUGGCAAAAGAGAACUGAAUCGAUAUAUAAAGAAUAUAAGAAGAUUAGAGUAGAAACUAAUAUGUAGGUAUUGUGUUGUCUAGUUGUCUGAUUACUCCUAUAUCCCUUCUUUAUUUCCAGUUUUGACAUGUUCUAAUGAGUAGAGUUAUUACCGCCUUGUGCAAGGUACAAAUACCAGUACAUCAUUUGUGUGUUGUCUAUUCUUAUUGGCUGUUGAUAUGUAAAUAAUCCUAUGACGUAACGUGUUGUGGUUCAAAGGUUCCUUGGCGCGUAGCAUAAUAACAACACAACACUCGAAUAUCGUUUCAGUUGGCAUCAGAAGGCGGGAAGUAAAGAUGAUUUCGUCGCUAGUAAGAUUGGUUUUACUUGUUUACAUCGUUGGUGGCUGCUUCCCUUUUGUUUUGGGACGCAAGAAAAAAGACACAUCGAAAAGGUGCAGCAGUGGUUCAAACACAGAUUCAACUAUUGCAGUGAAAGUAUCUAUGGAUUCCAUUGAUAGUAUGUCCGUUGACGAACCUUCGACAUGGACACCGCCUCCAAAACACAAACGUUUUCGAACCAUCUCUACCAUGUCUAAAGCUUCGAACUUUUCUGGUACUUCCAACAUUUCCAAUCUAAGUGAAAGAGAUCGAGUUUGGUUACAAGCCUUUCGAUUUGCUGGAAGAUGAUGAGCUUGAAGAGGAACUUUUAAAGAUGAAAAUGAAAACACAACAGCACACACACCAGGAAUUUUAGUGAUGACUGAGUGAACAUACACGGCAUUCUUCGCUGGAGAAAUCAAUCUGCACACUUACUUGGCUUCCCUCGAACAUUUUUGUCUGUUUCAAGGGAUUCUUGAUUCAUUUUGUUUGAAAUCCAUUGACUGUAUAGAACUUUUACGACUAAUUUWAAAAAUAGUUCCUGUCUGGAUAGUUUGUUACUCAAGACUAGAUGAUGGAUAUAGUUUUUAAUUCCUAGAAUAUUAUAGAAAUGAAAAAAAUUCAUGCAUUUUGUAAAGAUAUAUCAUGAUAGAACACAGAUAUUUAAAUCAUAGAUUCGAUUUGCUUUUCGUAGAAAGGCGAGUAGUGGGUGUAGGGCCUGGAGAUUGGAAGAUAAUACUUUUGUUGUAAAUAUAUGAGAUUAUAGUUUUUCAAAUUGUACAUUUGUAAGAAAAUGUUCUUUUUUAUAAAACGAUGUACAAUAUGUCUUGAAUUUUUUGAGAAAUAAAUGUAUUUAUUGAAUAUUUUA